UCCGGUUUGUCACCGGCAGUCUCCCUAGAGUGCCCUUGCGUAGCAACUAGGGACAAGGGUUGCGCUCGUUGCGGGACUUAACCCAACAUCUCACGACACGAGCUGACGACAGCCAUGCAGCACCUGUGUUCCGAUUCCCUUUCGGGCACACUCACCUCUCAGCGAGCUUCCGGACAUGUCAAGGGUAGGUAAGGUUGUUCGCGUUGCAUCGAAUUAAUCCACAUCAUCCACCGCUUGUGCGGGUCCCCGUCAAUUCCUUUGAGUUUUAACCUUGCGGCCGUACUCCCCAGGCGGGCAACUUCACGCGUUAGCUACGGUACUGAUCGGGUCAAUCCGACCAACACCUAGUUCACAACGUUUAGGGCGUGGACUAC
rnacentral:misc_RNA from 1 species